rnacentral:ncRNA from 1 species
AUUGAAUCAAUGAUUAGAAUUAGUAGAUAAGUAAAAUCAUCAGAGAGCUUGUGGUUGGUGUGAACAAGUGAUUAAGUUUAUCGAACUCAUCUCAAUCGAUGCUUAUCUGAAUAAAGUAAGAUAAGCCGUAUAAUCUGCGUUAAAGAUUUGAGGCAUAAUGUAUUUAUAUACCUUUUCAUUAUGCAAAAAUAGGUGGUACCGCGCUAUUUGGCGCCCUAUAG